rnacentral:lncRNA from 1 species
GCUUUUGGCUUGCAUUCGCUUUCUCCCUCCGAAAGUGGGCGACAUCAAGCAAGUCCCAGUUACAGAAAGAACCCACUGCAGGGCGUCCAGUCACUUGCCCAGUGAAAAGACUGUAAUCAGACAACUUUAAUAAAGGGAGAGCAGGAGAGUGGUGACGAAUUUCCACAUUCCGAACAAGCUUGUCGAAAGAGGAGUGCAGGGAAGGAGCAAGAAUGAGGCACUGGAAGACGGUGAGCGGGGCCUUGCCACAGAAUCCCGGGCCCACCUGCUUUCUCACAGUCGCGACAGCCGGCCCGGAGAAGGGCAGCCCAGCGAAGGGCACGCCCCGCGCGGGUGCCAGGGAGGCCGGCAGGGGCGUCCGCGGUCGCUGCUCACCUGCGCUCCCCGCUGCCCGGCCCAGCCCGCCUCGCCACCGAGUCUGGAAGCCCACACUCACCCCUUUACCCGGGAAACGCGGCCGGAGCCGGCGGCGGGUCGGGAGUCCGAGAUGGUAGAUCCCCCUCCAGGCGCCUCGCUGACAUUUUGUCCCGGACGGAAAACCUCCGCGCGUGCCCCUUAAAGACACAGCGCUGCAUUCACACGUCUGCGGGGAAAGGGGGGCCGUCACGUGUGGCCUUCGCCCGAAAGCGGUAGGGGAGUCGCUCUGAAACCGCCAAGGAUCGCGAGCGACAGAUUUGUGUUGGCCAGGGUUUUAAGAUGACGCAAUAGCUGAGUGUGGUUGAAAUGUAACUAUUGUUUUACAACUUUGCAUUAACCUUCCAAGACCUGAAUUCCCGGGCCUGAGUCUCAGAGCGCGGUUUGCAUCUUUGCAGGCUGUAGGCGCAUGAUGUCACAAGUUAUUGGAAGAAAUCCCUCCAACCUAGGUUGGGACAGAUGAAGGCGGCGCUUAUUGGUGUUCACCAAAACACCAGCAUGGUGUACCAGCUUUGGCUAGAUGAUGCUCAGAACACCAGAGACUGGGUAAUUAAUAAAAAGAAGAAAUUGAUCUGGCCUACAGUUCUGGAGCCUUGGAAGUCCGAGAUCAAGGAGCUGCAUCUGGGUUCUAGGAUGCCUCAUAAAGGCCCGUAGUGUACUUUCUGUCUACUUCACUUAGCUCCGCAUUUGCAAUUUCUGUUAACAUGCAUACAGUUGAAUGGAUGGCCAGGAUCAAAGCUAUCUGCUGUGAGACACAAUGAGAAAUGCUUUUGUGUAAAGGAAAACACAGAUCCUGGUGCCGAACAUGAGGACAGGGCAGGCCGAAGGAGAAAGUGGAAGGAGGGGAGCUUCUCUCUCAGCCUCAUCCUUCUGGGCCUGGAUGCUGGAGAGUCAUGAGGUGCUUCAGAGUACUCUGGGUGAGGAGGGAAAGAUGGUGCCCACCACAUGGAGGCCAGCCUAGGUCUUGUAUGAAACCUGUGAGCUAGCUGAAAGCAGAGAACCCAGCAGAGGAUUCUGGGAAGGUCCUGGGGGAUGGCAGAGCCAGCAGAGAGAGGGUAUGGAUCCACCAGGCAUAGGAUGGAACAGAGCACUAUUGACCACAGUGAACUGGGGCAUGGGCAAUCAAUAAACACAUAUUAGAUUAAGCUAUUGAGACUCAGGGAUUUUUAUACAACUGACAUUCCCUAAGAAGCCAUGAUCUUCCUGUCUCAGGAGGUGCAUAAGCAGUGGUUGAAUGUUCAACAGUCAAGAAUGUUAUAAAAAGAGGUUCUUGGGAGAGUGGACCUGAUGGCCAGCAAAAAUCAUAGCUCACAUUUAUUGAGUUAUUAUGGCUCAGGCAUGUGCACAUAUUCUUUUAUUUAAAUCUACAAUAUGCUUUAUCAUGCUCAUUUUAUACAUGAGGAACACAAGGCAUGGAGAGGUUAGAUAACAUGCCUAAGAUCAUGAAGCAAGCAAGGGGGAGAAAAGAUACCCUUCUCACUCCUUCCAGACAGCUCACUUCACCACCACUCCCCACUGUCUCUAAAGCAAAAGUUAUUUGAAGGCUUAGGGACUGGUUUGGUAUUAUCCAUGCAGGGCGGUUUGUUUUGUUUUUCUUUUAAAAUUUCAGCCUAUGCUUAAAAGAUUUCAUGUAAAAAUUCUGUUUUCUAGUUUCUCUUGAAAAUUAAGAAGAUCUGGUAAAACUGGGCUUGAAGACCAUUAUGGUAACAGGCUGCUGAAGCUGAGGAGAGGGCCCCUUCAGAUGGGCAUAAGCACUGCUCCCCCUCCCCAACCCCCCUUUUAGGUUACUAUCAGACUCUGGAAGCUUCUGAAUGUGUGAACCCUGAAAGAGUCCAUCUAAAGCUAAGUUCUCCCCAGGGGUAGAGCCCAAUGCUGGGCAUACAGUAGGG